rnacentral:rRNA from 1 species
AUUGAACGCUGGCGGCAUGCCUUACACAUGCAAGUCGAACGGCAGCACGGGAGCAAUCCUGGUGGCGAGUGGCGAACGGGUGAGUAAUAUAUCGGAACGUGCCCAGUCGUGGGGAUAACGUAGCGAAAGCUACGCUAAUACCGCAUACGAUCUAUGGAUGAAAGCGGGGGAUCGCAAGACCUCGCGCGAUUGGAGCGGCCGAUAUCAGAUUAGGUAGUUGGUGAGGUAAAGGCUCACCAAGCCGACGAUCUGUAGCUGGUCUGAGAGGACGACCAGCCACACUGGGACUGAGACACGGCCCAGACUCCUACGGGAGGCAGCAGUGGGGAAUUUUGGACAAUGGGCGCAAGCCUGAUCCAGCAAUGCCGCGUGCAGGAUGAAGGCCUUCGGUUGUAACGUAGUCUUUGUAC